AGUGAAGCGGGAUGAGCUCAAAUUUAAAAUCUGGCUGGUUUACUAGUCCGAAUUGUAGUUUAUAGAAGCGUUUUCGGUGGCAGCCUGGGUAUAAAUCCUUUGGAAUAGGGUAUCAUAGAGGGUGAGAAUCCCGUCUUUGACUCAGUGCAUGCUACUAUGUGAUACGUUUUCAAAGAGUCGAGUUGUUUGGGAAUGCAGCUCAAAAUGGGUGGUAAAUUUCAUCUAAGGCUAAAUAUUGGCGAGAGACCGAUAGCGAACAAGUACCGUGAGGGAAAGAUGAAAAGAACUUUGAAAAGAGAGUUAAACAGUGCGUGAAAUUGUUGAAAGGGAAACGUUUGACACCAGUUAUGCGGGUGGAAAAUCAGUCUUUUGCAAUGGGGAGUUGUGGGCGUUCAGACCGCAAGGCUGGCGUUUGCUUCAUCUUUGUUGUAAGUGAUGCACUUUUUCAUCUGCAGGUCAACAUCAGUUUGCUUUGCUGGACAAAACCCCAAGGGAAGGUAGCAGCUUAGGCUGUGUUAUAGCCCUGGGGCGAUACAGUGGAGUGGACUGAGGUUUCGCAGUGUGUGCUCUCGGGCAAGGCUGACUGGGUGCUAUGGGAUCGUUCGGCGUACAAUGCAUGCAUUUUGCGUCGUGUCUUUUUCAUACUCGCUCAACUCGGCUCUUCCACGCUUAGGAUGUUGACUUAAUGGUUUUAAAUGACC
rnacentral:rRNA from 1 species